rnacentral:rRNA from 1 species
AGUGAACGCUGGCGGUAGGCCUAACACAUGCAAGUCGAACGGCAGCACAGUAAGAGCUUGCUCUUACGGGUGGCGAGUGGCGGACGGGUGAGGAAUACAUCGGAAUCUACUUUUUCGUGGGGGAUAACGUAGGGAAACUUACGCUAAUACCGCAUACGACCUACGGGUGAAAGCAGGGGAUCUUCGGACCUUGCGCGAUUGAAUGAGCCGAUGUCGGAUUAGCUAGUUGGCGGGGUAAAGGCCCACCAAGGCGACGAUCCGUAGCUGGUCUGAGAGGAUGAUCAGCCACACUGGAACUGAGACACGGACCAUACUCCUACGGGAGGCAGCAGUGGGGAAUAUUGGACAAUGGGCGCAAGCCUGAUCCAGCCAUACCGCGUGGGUGAAGAAGGCCUUCGGGUUGUAAAGCCCUUUUGUUGGGAAAGAAAAGCAGCAGGUUAAUACCCCGCUGUUCUGACGGUACCCAAAGAAUAAGCACCGGCUAACUUCGUG